rfam:Scleropages formosus scaffold4335, whole genome shotgun sequence.
GUGGGCUACGGGGACAUGCACCCUGUCACCAUAGGGGGCAAAAUUGUGGGCUCCCUGUGCGCUAUCGCCGGCGUGUUAACCAUCGCCUUGCCGGUACCCGUCAUUGUGUCCAAC